rnacentral:misc_RNA from 1 species
UUUUAUUAUUAUUUUUUUAAUUUAAUAAUGCAUAAAAUGAAUGCCGUGUUUCAGUAUUUGCCAAGUGUUAAUUAGAGAAUACAAUGUAUAGCAUAGUUGCAUACACAUUUAUCUAUUAAGGAAUUCCAUGGAACUCUUAUUGACCUCGUAAGUGGAGAUGGGAUGGUGGUUUUUUUCCUUGUUUUCUAAGUACUUGUGAAAUUGAGGAUCUAGAAUGAGUAGCCUUCAGCAAUAGCUGAGAAUACAAGUGAAGCAGAAUAUUGAGAAGAUAGAUGGAGGACAAAUAGAAUUUGGAAGUAGCUUGGAUAUUUGUUUCUGGGUUCCGAAAAUUCUUAGUGGUGAGAGGUGGAAAUUACUUUUUCCCAGUUCUUAAGAUUGUGUGGAUUUGGUUACUGAAGUUUCUAUAUGUAAAUUUUAGUGAAGUUCGUAAUAUCAUUGUUGGAAGUGAUUUUGAGAUUUAUCAAUCAGUUAAAUUCCUGUAGAUCCAUAAAUUCAAAUUCUUUUAAGAUUUGUCUGUGAAGGGAAUUAGACUGUUGUCCUUUUAUUGGUCAUCCUUUUCGUGAUAAAGAAUCACCAAAAAAAGGUACCAAUCCCCAGUAAAGAGGAAGGGUUAUUGGAAUGGAAACCCAUAAGGUGAAUCAAGUAAUGAAACUAUAAGUGUCCUAAAAAUGAAAUUACAAGAAUUUAGAAGAGUGAACUUAAUAAGUUGAACAAGACCAAAAGUAGAGUUUGUGGAAUCACCAUAGCGAACUAUUGACAUGCGAGUUGCAAUCCCACACUGUCAAUGGCCUAAGGAGUUAUUGUUUCAUCUUCUGAAUACCCUUAUUUAGAAAUGAAGUGACAUUGAAGAAAUUGAUGAAGAAAGAAGAAGGAAGAAGAUUAGGCUCAAAAAGCUUGAUUAUUCCCUCAAGUUGAUGGGGUUUAUAUACUGCUAAAAUUACAACAGGUACAGAAAUACAAUCAAAUCAGUCAUUCCUAAAAUCACUAAACAAUUCUAGCGCUAAAUCAUAGCAUACAACCAUUACACAAUCCUACCAUUUUUGCUAAUAUCGCAAUGCUGUCCCUUAAGUUGGAGCAUGCAUAUCAUAUGUGCCUAGCUUGUUACAAAUGUAAUGAGUCUGAGAACCUUGAAGGGAUUUAGUAAGAAUGUCUUCUAAUUGGUCGUUUGAAUUGACGAAGAUAGUAGCAAUACACCAUGGCUCAAUCUUCUGCCUGAUGAAGUGACAAUCCACUUUUAUAUGUUUCGUCGUUUCGUGAAAAAUUGGAUUUGAGGCAAUAUGCUAGUUGUUUGAUUGUCGUAAAUCAAUUUCAUUUUUUGACAUCUCCAUGCCUUAAUUUUUGAAGAAGUUGCUUUAACUAGAUAAGUUUACAAGUUGCUAAGACUAUGACUUAGUAUUUUGCUCCUACACUCGAUCUAAUUACUACUUCCUGCUUUUUACUUGUCUAAGAUAUUAGAUUCCUCCCAAUUAGGACACAAUAGCGUGAGGUGGAUCGUCUAUCUGAGGGAGAAUUUGUCCAUUCUGCAUCAGAAUAUCUAACCAUCUUUGUUUGUCUUUUGUCCUCCUAUAACAGGCCUUGCCUUAUGGCUCUUUUGAUAUAUCUAAGGAAUGGAUGCGGAUUAUUGAAUUCCAUUAACUAUCACAUGGAGCUCGAAGAAACUGACUCGCCACACCUUUACAAAAGAAAUUAUUGGUCCUUUGAUUGGGAGAUAAAUGAGCUUAUUAACAAGUUUAUGAUAUUUACGAAUUACUUCUUUUUCAAAUUUUCAUUCAUUCACUUGUAUUAAAUAUCAUUUAUGCCUCUCGUAGUUCUUCAGAUCAUAAAUGUUGCUUUUGAAUUUGGCUGUAUAAUGUUGAAGAACUGUUAUUUUUCUGUUGUUUCUCAAAUUUUUAUUUUGGGGUCUUUAUGGAGCCAACAAACUGAAAGGAAUCAAAUCAAAUUUCUUUGGUUUUGGUUCAGUUUUUCCUCCUAUUUGGUUCAGUUUUCUGCUUUUUAUAAUUUUAGUUAUUCGGCUUUUUGGUAACUUUCAGAACCAAACUGACCUUUUGAAAGCAGUUGAGCUCUUUGCUUCUGUCAUGGUACAAUCCUCUUCUUGUUGAGCCCUUUACUCCUUGGUUCAGAGAGGCUAACCUUUUAGUAUUGUUGAUAACUUAGAUUGUGAAGAUUUUCCAUGCAACAAAAUUUUUGCGGUACUCAUUAUCUUUGCUUUCCAAUGGUGAUUUAGCUUAUCUGUCUUGUUUAGCUUGGUGUGCAUGAAUUGAUUUUUAGCAAAAUCAAUUUGGUGUUUAUCUUCACUACAAAUGCAUAUCAAUUGAGAUGAAACAGAUAGUCCUUUACCCACUUCAAACAUAUAAGAAUUUAAGAUAUGAAUACCUGGCUUCCUAAUUUUUUCCCAAGUGAAGAGUCUCAAACUCAGUUACUUUUUUUGUUACACGUCAUAUGUUUGUACAUGUGAUAUUCUUUAAAGGAGUUCCUAAAGUUAAUGAAAUUUUGGCAACAUCUGGGGAUAAAUUUUGGAAGUUUCUAACAGCUGGAUGUGUACCAAGUGACUUUGUGACUGUUUAUUACUUCAAACCCCAAAACCUUCAUGAUGUGCAUGCAAUAUUUUUUCCUGACAGGAUUGAGAGGGGUGAAAAAGGCCAAAACCUGUGGCCACAGCUGGCUCAGAAUCAUUGCUUCUGUUUAUUUUAUUAUCGUUCUGAUAGAAAUUCAAUGUUUUGUUCUUAUAUCCUCCUUUGAUAUUCCACAUUGCAUUCUUUAGCUGAUUGUAGUAUACAAAGUCAUCAACAAUACACACUAGUGGCCUUAUUAUGGUAUGGCUAUGGUAUACAGCUAAUCUGGCACAAUUCUCUUUUGACCAGUGAUGUUGAAAUUUAGUCCAGAAUAUAUUUUUCAAAAGUACAGAAUUUGCAAAUACUAUGCUUGAUAAGUGAGACAUUGUUUGUGCACAAUAUGUUGUAAUUGUAGGAUAUAGGUAAGUGAUUAGGAAAUCUGACUUUCUUGAAAAUUUGUUUUGUAGGACAAUUCCUUUUGCAUGGAACCUCCUAACAGCUGGUUACAUUGAACAAUCAUUAUAUGGGUUGGUGGUUAGCACUUUAUGCGUCCUUGUUAUGGGAAAGCUGCUCGAACCUGUGUGGGGUUCUAAGGAGUUCUUGAAGUUCAUUUUCAUUGUCAACUUUCUAACUUCUGUGUGUGUUUUCAUUACAACUAUUGCCUUGUACUACAUAACAAGGCAGGAAAAUUACCUGUAAGUGCUUGAUUACAAAAUGUGUAGUUAUUUCGCUUGCUUCUGCUGCCUAUGCUCAACCUGCCUUUUUUUGUUCAUUUAUUUUCUCUUUUCCUAUACCUUCUAUGAUCCUUUAGCACUCUGUUUGAUUUCAUAUUAGUAAAAGAAGUCACAAGUUAACUCCUUUUCUUUCAUUCCAAUUGCAUUGGUCCUAAGGCUGUAAUAUUUGCUCAGAGUCUGACCUGGAUCAAUGUUGAAUGAUCAACUCAUGCCUUAUUAAAUACAUAUUUUCCCUUUUUUUUUUUUUCAAUUCAUGUUAGUUAUAUGCCCAUUUCUGGCUUCCAAGGGAUCUUGUCAGGUUUCUUGGUUGGUAUGAAGCAAAUUAUACCUGACCAAGAACUGCCCUUAUUCACAAUAAAGGCAAAGUGGCUUCCAUCUAUUGCACUCUUGCUAGCUACUGCUGUAAGCUUCUUUACGCCUGAUUCAACGACAUAUCUUCCAACCAUUAUAUUUGGCACGUAUACAAGUUGGAUUUACCUAAGAUACCUACAGAGGAAACCAGAAGCAAAACUAAGGGGUGAUCCAAAUGAUGAUUUUGCAUUCUCUACUUUCUUUCCUGAAUUCCUUAGACCAGUUAUUGAUCCCAUUGCAUCAAUAUUCCAUCGGAUGCUUUGUGGAAGAUCCGACACUUCUACUGAAGCACAUGGUUAUACUCUGGGAGGGGCUCCAUUGCCUGGUUCAGACCCCAUCGAGGCAUCUAGGAGGAGGUAAGAAUCCCGGUUAUAGGGCCAGUGUCAUAUCACAUGGGAUCCCCACCUCCGUCCCCUAAACACACACUUUACCCUUCUCCCUGUCCAGUUGUUGCGGUGGCAUAUAACUUAAUGCAUUAAUCUAACUUGCAAGAAUGAUGUAGAUUUUCAGUUUGAGCAUAUACUUGUUUAAAGUUGAAAAUUGGCAUUCAUAUAACGGAAGUUGUAAGUUACUUUUUUAAAAUUACGAAUAUAUUCGGACUAAAAAAUUGUCAUGAUUAUAUUUACUGGAAAAGUGCAAGGGGUUUUUGUAUAAGGUGCUACCUUACUGAUGGAUAAAAAAAAAUGCGCCGUGGACCAUUAAAAAGGAAUAGGAAAAAGAAAAUCUGGAGAGCAAUGACAAGAAUGAUGCUAUUGAAAAGCUACAACAAUACAAGAGACCAAGAGUGUAUAAUGGCAAAAAAGAAUAGUUUCUGACAUAUCUGCCAUCUGCCACUUGCAGAGAACGUGGAGCUAGAGCACUGGAAGAAAGAUUGGCGGCUGAGAG